GGGGAAUUUUCCGCAAUGGGCGCAAGCCUGACGGAGCGACGCCGCGUGCAGGAUGAAGGUCUUCGGAUUGUAAACUGCUUUUGUCAGUGAAGAAUAUGACGGUAGCUGACGAAUAAGGGUCUGCUAACUACGUGCCAGCAGCCGCGGUCAUACGUGGGACCCAAGCGUUAUCCGGAUUUACUGGGCGUAAAGAGUUGCGUAGGCGGUCGUUUAAGCGAUGUAUUAAAGCCAUUGGCUUAACCAAUGGAAGGUACAUCGAACUGGACGACUUGAGUCUAGAAGAGGUCGCUGGAAUUUCCAGUGGAGGGGUGAAAUCCGUAGAUAUUGGAAGGAACACCGAUGGCGUAAGCAGGCGACUGGUCUAGUACUGACGCUAAGGCACGAAAGCGUGGGGAGCGAACGGGAUUAGAUACCCCGGUAGUCCACGCCGUAAACGAUGGAUGCUAGCUGUCUGGAGUUCAACCCUCUGGGUAGCGCCGCUAACGCCUUAAGCAUCCCGCCUGUGGAGUACGAGCGCAAGCUUAAAACAUAAGGGAAUUGACGGGGACCUGCACAAGCGGUGGAGCGUGUUGUUUAAUUCGAUGAUAAGCGAAGAACCUUACCAGGGCUUGACAUCCUGCCAAGUCUCGGGAAACUGAGAUGUGCCUUCGGGCCGCAGUGACAGGUGCUGCAUGGCCGUCGUCAGCUCGUGUCGUGAGAUGUUGGGUUAAGUCCUUUAACGAGCGCAACCCCUAUACUUAGUUGUAUUUUUCUAAGAAGACUGCCUUGGCAACAGGGAGGAAGGAGGGGACGAUGUCAGGUCAGUAUUGCCCUUACGCCCUGGGCUACAAACACGCUACAAUGGCCGGUACAAAGGGUCGCCAACCCGCGAGGGGGAGCUAAUCCCAUCAAAGCCGGUCCCAGUUCGGAUUGCAGGCUGAAACUCGCCUGCAUGAAGUUGGAAUCGCUAGUAACGGUAAGUCAGCAUAUUACCGUGAAUACGUUCCCAGGUCUUGUACACACCGCCCGU
rnacentral:rRNA from 1 species